rnacentral:rRNA from 1 species
AUUGAACGCUGGCGGCAGGCCUAACACAUGCAAGUCGAGCGAGCGGCGGACGGGUGGGUAAUGUAUUGGGACCUGCCUGAUGUCGGGGUCUAACUACUGGAAACCGUAGCUACUACCGCAUACCAUCAUUUGAACCCAUAUGGGAUUAGCUAGUAGCGGAGGUAAAGGCUCACCUAGGCGACGAUCCCUAGCUGGUCUGAGAGGGUGAUCAGCCAAACUGGGACUGAGACACGGCCCAGACUCCUACGGGAGGCAGCAGUGGGGAAUAUUGCACAAUGGGCGCAAGUCUGAGGCAGCCACGCCGCGUGUAUGAAGAAGGCCUUCGGGUUGUAAAGUACUGUCAGUCGGGAAGCGGUACCUACAGAAGAAGCACCGGCUAACUACGUGCCAGCAGCCGCGGUAAUAC